GACCUAAAGUGAAAGGCUGGAGAGAUACCCAGAAUCAUCGUUAUAUUCUCUUCAUUUCUCUCUCCAAAAGAAUGGCCGAAGGUUUCUGUGAUAUUUUUUAGAUCUUCAUUUCUGAAAUCGAAGAUAGAGAUGAAUGAAAAGGAAUCGCAGAAUGAUUCUGUAGAGAUCAAGGAAAGCUCAGGGAAAGAGGCUGUGUCUAGGUCCAACAUACACCAUACAUUAUCUUUUGGGUGGGUUUCUUUUUUUUCUUUUUGUGAACAACAAGAAUGUUGAUAUUUUUUCUUGUUUUUGUAUGUUACAUUGUCCAAGAUAGAUCUCCUUUUAGACACAUUGAUGUCCACAUUGUUCAGGAUCCAUUGAAUCAUGUAUAUUUCUAUCACCUUGUAAGAGGUGCAAUUGAUUUGGAAUGGUUUGAGAAAGAGGUUCGUAGGAGGAUAGGUCUACAAGUAAGUGAAGGUAUUGAUCUAAUAUGGGUUGAAGACCCUUGGCAGCCUUUUAGCGUUCUUCGAACUGACGAGGAUUUCUCGAAGUUUUGGGAUAAUGAUGUACCAAGUGGAAGGGGUUCUAUAUGGUUACUUGGCAAUAUAUUGUACCCAAAAAAAGGAUUAUUUCUCAUGUUAGAAGAAGCCCCAGACUUAGAGUUGUUAGAAGAAGCCCCAAACUUCAAGCUAAAGCUAAGGCUGAUAAACAACAAGGUAUCUCUACUUCUAAGAAGUUGUUUUAGGACUUAUUGAAUGAAGUCUAGUCACUAAAGCUAGUGAUGGUGAUAAUUUGGGAGGUGGCUCAAGUACUAGGGCAUUUGUAGUUAAUGAAUCAGCUGUAACCUGUAGAUGAUGAUUAUGUUGUUUAACUUAGAACCAAGUUAUUGAUGUUCAUCUGGUAGUUGUUUAUUUAAGACAGAUCUUGCAUAUUA